GAAGCAGAGGUGCCCAUAGUUGCGGAAAGUGCCUCACCCGGCUUGCUCAAGUCCUCUCUUCUCCUCUUUCUCCCUCCGGAAACGUGAGUGGCAAAUCGAAGGUUCCGGUUGUUGAAACUGGUGGGAAUAUGGGGAACGCUUAGUAUGUACUAGGCAUUUCCCAGGGAGCUAGUUUUUUCUUGUUUGAUGCCCAGGCUUUGAGUCUCUGCAAGCCCCAAUUUAAGGACUAACCACUUCCCCUAGAGAUUAAGAAGUCCUCUUUCCCAAAUAUCCACUUUUCUUGCUGCAUCUUAAAACACAAUGGAGAGGGGACAGCUGGCGCUCCCAUUUUAUAGACAGAACCAUUGGAAAUGGAAAGGCAAAGCCGUUCCAGUCGCCCUCGGGAAACGGGGAUUUACUGCGGCACUACCCAGCUGUCCCAGGAACUACGGCACCUCGUUCCCGCCAGUUUCUGAAUAUCUAGAGACCCAGACGUUGAUUUUUCUAGCUUGGCCAGGCGAACACCUAGAGGACAGGCGGAGCGGUUAGGGGCCGGGAGGAAAAAGGAGGAGAGUCGAAUCCCAGCUCCCAAGUGCCCCAAGGUAUUCGACACCUUGGCUCCCCCAGGGAGCUCAGGCCUUUUAAGUUCUUUAUCCUAAGGUCCCUUUAAAUACUUUGUCCCUUACCUGAGUCCCGCCCAGGGCAGGUAAUAACAAGCUCCGCCCCUCUGCCAGAAACCGGGAUCGGGCCUGGUUACCCGGAGUGGGGCGCCCCUCCUCCCCCUCCCCUCUUCCCUGUCCCCCUUCACAGGUGGCUGUAGCUGGCCAAGGAGGUCCGGAUUAAAGAGGAAGGGGCAGUGCUCACAGGUCUGGGCAGGUGUCCACAAAAUAUGAGGGGCCACCCCUCUCUGCUGCUGCUAUACAUGGGAUUUACCACCUGCCUCGAUACUUCACCCAGUGCGGAGAAAGACCAAGUCCCCACCUCUUCCAGGAAUCCAGGACCCGGCCCUUUCCUCCUUCAGACCCAGGAGUCUGGAUUCCCAGCCCUUACUCCUUCCUCCAGGACCCCACUGCUCCCCAUCCCCCUAUGACUCCGGCCCUAGGGACCCUCCGUUUUUCUCUCUCUCACGUCUUUGGGCCCCGAAGUCUUCCUGGGUCCCCCAGAGGCCCAGAGCUUCCUGAGUCGCCGUACCCGGAUUCGAAGAGCCAAUCACUGGGACCUGGAGCUGUUCACGCCGGGGAACCUGGAACGGGAGUGUCUGGAAGAGAAGUGUUCCUGGGAAGAGGCCAGGGAGUAUUUUGAGGACGACACUCUCACGGAGCACUUUUGGGAGAGCUACAUCUACAAUGGGAAAGGAGGGCGUGGACGAGUCGAUGUGGCAGGCCUGGCUGUGGGGCUGACAUGUGGCAUCCUGGUCAUUGUCCUUGCCGGCCUGGGAGCCUUUUGGUAUCUGCAUUGGCGACGGCGCCGAAGCCACCAGCCCUGUCCCCAAGAGUCCGGGGUCAUCAGCCCUCUGAGUCCUUUGAGCCCUCUGGGCCCACCGACGCCCCUGCCUCCACCCCCACCCCCAGGCCUCCCCACCUAUGAGCAGGCGCUGGCAGCCUCUGGGGUACACGACGCACCUCCACCCCCCUACAGCAGCCUCAGGAGGCCUCACUGAAGAGCUGCUUUCAGACCGGCUCUCCGAACCGCGACCCUGAUUCACACCGGAUUCCGGAAGCCCCUAGGCCUCGUAGACGCCGAAGCUGGACUUGGAGGGGGGAAUAGUGAGAAUAGGGGUCGUCCGGCCCGAGGCCUGCCCUGGCACACGCGUUUCCGCCGCGUAUGGAUAUACAUAUGUUUUCGGCAACAUAUUCCUGUGUCCUGGUCCCUCACGGGCCCCCACACUCUCCUGACGGUGAGGGCACCGGUCACAUCCCGCCCCCGUGGUAGGCAGACGCACGGGGAAACUCGUACCCAGGAGCGAAGUCCCGGCUGUGCCGUCUUAGGUGUGAGCAGACGACCUGUCCAUCCCCUCCAGUGCCACACGGUACGCACAGGCACAGCCCUGCCUGUGCACACGCGUGUCUUCGUGCACUCCCCGUGUGGUACAGGGGCGCUUCCUAACCCAGGGAAAGAGUGGGGGGCACAUUCGCAAGUGUGCUCGGUGCGGGCAGGCUUGCACUACACCCAAGGAGCUGGAGUUGAGCUGUUCCCCUAAAUAAAAACCCUUCGGAAAGGAGACCAAAUAAAGCAGAAACGAUGCAAAAAAAAAAAAAAAAAUCUAAUGACAUGAAUCGCGAUCUCGGGCGCA